GGCACUAUAGCCAAGUGGUUACGGCGACAGAUUCGAAUCUUGAAGUUCAUCUGUUUUCCUUUGGGAGCACAGGUUCGAGUCCUGCUGGUGUCG